GUUGUAGAUGGAUGGACACAAUAUCUUUGUUUUAUUUAUUUAUUUUUUUAAUGUGGUGCUGAGGAUCGAACCCAAUGCCUCACAUAUGCGAGGCAAGCGCUCAACCACUGAGCUACAGUCAUGACCCCUAGGUAAUAUUCUUAAGAGUGCUACAUUCACACUCACAAAAUCAUUUCAAUUCUGAGAUAAGUACUAUUUUUUUAUUAUUUCCAUUUAUAAAACAGAAACAUAGAGAAGUCACUUGUUCCCUAGUUAGUAGAGGCAGAUUUGAACCCAUAUAGUCUUGACAUCAGCAUGAGCACUCUCAAACACAGAUGAGGACUAUUUUAUCCAUCAUUUGCAACAAUAUUUUUGUGUUAUAUAUUGGGACCCUCUUAAGGCAGUCUAUAGUUGUUUGGGAGAUCGAAUUGAGGAUUCCCAGGCUGGGAUUGUGGCUCAGUAGUGGAGUGCUUGCCUAGCAUGUGUGAGACACUGGGUUCGAGUCUCAGCACCACAUAUAAAUAAAUAAAGAUCCAUCAAUAACUAAUAAAAGUACUUUUUAAAAAAAGAAUUGAGGACUCCCCUUUCCAGAGAGGAAUCCGAGUACCCAGAACCUAGCUUUCCCACUCAGGACAGCUUUCUUUUGCCAGUCCUGCCUCUCUGGGGCUGAGUUUACUGACUAAUGUUUCCCUGACCUGGAAUUACCACCCUGAGUUAUUGCUGUGUACCACACAGGGCUAGGUACAUUUACAAUUUCUCUGUUGCUACCACCCAGCAAGAAUAUUAUCUCCAUCUUACAGACAAGUAAAUUGAGGUUUAGGAAAGGAAGAAUGACUUGCUUAGGAGCAUACACUAGUGCUCCUGUCAAGGAUUGGGAUUCCAGAUGUCCAUCCCAGAGUCUACUGCUCUGUUAAUUCUGUAGUGAUCUUGCACAGUUGGGAGCCAACUAAGUGAGGAGGCAGAUUAGCUGUGACAAACUAAUGAGAGUCACUCUCUUUGGCCUCACAUUUUUUUUUUAACAUGGACACAAUAUCUUUAUUUUUUUGUGGUGCUGAGGAUCGAACCCAGUGCCUCAUGCAUGCUAGGCAAGCACUCUACCUCUGAGCUACAAUUCCAGCCUCUCCACUUUCUUAUCUGUGAAGAGGGUAUUUUUAUGCAGAAAGGACUCUUUUUUGGAGAGUCCUAAGGCCUGCCUAAGUUUAUAGUGCCAUUUUCUGCCUAAGCUGUUUUAUUAGAGAAUAGCGACCAGGUUCAGAGUUUGAAAUAAAAAAGAGGGGUACCCUCAAGUCUGCUUGGGGAACAUGAACAUGAUGGUAACAAUGGGUCCCAUUUACUGGGUCUUCUUCACGUGCCAGGCCCUGGGCUACAUACACACACAGAGUCAUACUGUAGCUUCUCUAGGGAGUUUUUAGAAGGGAGUUUUCCUAGAGAUCACUGCAUUCUGUCUUCUAAUUGGGAGACAAGGAAUUAUUUCUAUUCAUUCCUUCAAUAGUCGUGGAGGUUCUAUUCUCUGCAAGGCCCAUGCUGAGCUUUUAGAAAUGAUAGAAAAGACCAAUGGAAGGUGUUAACAGCAAGAAUAUCUAGAUGACAGGAAUAGUGUUACCUCUCCCCUCUCUUCUCUCUUCUCUCUUCUCUCUUCUCUCUUCUCUCUUCUCUCUUCUCUCUUCUCUCUUCUCUCUUCUCUCUCUCUCUCUCUCUCUCUCUCUCUCUCUCGCAAUUCUCUUGCGUCAGUCUCCAAAGUAGCUGGGAGUACAGUUACACACCAUUAUGCCUG
rnacentral:lncRNA from 1 species